AAUGUUGACCUCGGAUCAGGU
rnacentral:rRNA from 1 species